UACCAGCACCCCGAGUGGUCGGGACGAUUAUUGGGCCUAAAGCAUCCGUAGCCGGUCCUACAAGUCUUCCGUUAAAUCCAGCUGCUCAACAGAUGGGCUGCGGAAGAUACUAUAGAGCUAGGAGGCGGGAGAGGCAAGCGGUACUCGAUGGGUAGGGGUAAAAUCCGUUGAUCCAUUGAAGACCACCAGUGGCGAAGGCGGCUUGCCAGAACGCGCUCGACGGUGAGGGAUGAAAGCUGGGGGAGCAAACCGG
rnacentral:rRNA from 1 species